rnacentral:rRNA from 1 species
UACGUAGGCAGCAAGCGUUUGUUCGGAAUUACUGGGCGUAAAGAGUGCGUAGGCGGUGCUCUAAGUUUGGUGUGAAAUCUCCCGGCUUAACUGGGAGGGUGCGCCGAAGACUGGAGUGCUUGAGUGUGGGAGAGGAAAGCGGAAUUCCUGGUGUAGCGGUGAAAUGCGUAGAUAUCAGGAGGAACACCUGCGGUGUAGACGGCUUUCUGGACCACGACUGACGCUGAGGCACGAAAGCGUGGGUAGCAAACAGG